AUUCGUGCACCUUCCCCCUCCCAACGGAUAACAAGUCUCAAGGCUGGUUAGCAAUCAGGAAAGACAUAUCUUUGAGGUCUGUGACUUGCUCGGAGUUGCUGUGCUUCAUGCAUCCAUGUAGUCCUCUAUGAGAGUAUCCCUCCGGUCCAAAUAGUCAUGUCCAUGAUUUUGAGUUGCUGUGCAGCUGUGCUUCAGACAUCCAUGCAGUCCCC